GUUUUUUGGCAAUAAAUGCUACGUCACGGUGGGAAAUCGCUGCUGACUGUUGCACUUAAGCCCACG